ACUUAUAUAUAAAAUACUCAAUUAUAGAAAUCCUACCCUUAGUUUUCAAUUCCUAGACCUAGACCUAGCUACACCCCAAUUCCCAAAAAGACCAGCCAUUUUUCCAUCCUUAAAAAUCUGAUUUGCAAAAACCCAAAACCCCACCUCACGAGUCCGGUUAAUUUCACACUAUAAUCGAUCGAUUGAUUUGAUUAAAAAUCAGCAACCUUUUCAGUUGCGAAUUUCAAUUUCAACUUUUUCAAUCGAUCGGUUGAUUUGGAUUAACUAUAAGUCAUUAGUGGUUAAAUCUCAAUCAAAAGCAUAUGUGGAAAUCAAACCCCCAUCGUCCCACUAUCUGCUUGUGUAGGUGAUAACAAUUAUGAUUGUGGCUAAUUGGGGUUUUAAAUUAGAUAGAUACCUCUGGCUUUGCAUAUGUUGUUAUGCUUGUGACUAAAAUGGAGUGGUUUCGAGUUUUUCGGUGUCGAUUCGAGGUCCCGGUUCGCACUUUCGGUGUUUCGGUCCAAGGAUUGUUGCUUCGUUUAGCCCGAUUGAUUUGCAAUUUUCAGCUUUGUUCAUCAAUAAAAGGUCCAUUUCUCAAUUUUCAUUCUCA